GAUGAACGCUGGCGGCGUGCCUAAUACAUGCAAGUCGAGCGAACAGACGAGGAGCUUGCUCCUCUGACGUUAGCGGCGGACGGGUGAGUAACACGUGGAUAACCUACCUAUAAGACUGGGAUAACUUCGGGAAACCGGAGCUAAUACCGGAUAAUAUAUUGAACCGUAUGGUUCAAUAGUGAAAGACGGUUUUGCUGUCGCUUAUAGAUGGAUCCGCGCCGCAUUAGCUAGUUGGUAAGGUAACGGCUUACCAAGGCAACGAUGCGUAGCCGACCUGAGAGGGUGAUCGGCCACACUGGAACUGAGACACGGUCCAGACUCCUACGGGAGGCAGCAGUAGGGAAUCUUCCGCAAUGGGCGAAAGCCUGACGGAGCAACGCCGCGUGAGUGAUGAAGGUCUUCGGAUCGUAAAACUCUGUUAUUAGGGAAGAACAAAUGUGUAAGUAACUAUGCACGUCUUGACGGUACCUAAUCAGAAAGCCACGGCUAACUACGUG
rnacentral:rRNA from 1 species